UCUCCGUUGGUGAACCAGCGGAGGGAUCAUUAUCGAGUUUAUAACUCCCAAACCCUAUGUGAACUUACCACUUGUUGCUUCGGCGCGCGCUUCGGCGCCGCCGAGGACACUUAAACUCUUUGUUUUUAUAAGCAUUUCUGAGUGGCCGAAAGGCAAAAUACAAAUGAAUCAAAACUUUCAACAACGGAUCUCUUGGUUCUGGCGUCGAUGAAGAACGCAGC
rnacentral:misc_RNA from 1 species